rnacentral:misc_RNA from 1 species
GAUGAAGAACGUAGCGAAAUGCGAUAAGUAAUGUGAAUUGCAGAAUUCAGUGAAUCAUCGAAUCUUGAACGCACAUUGCGCCCUCUGGUAUUCCGGGGGGCAUGCCUGUUCGAGCGUCAUUACAACCCUCAAGCUUUGCUUGGUAUUGGACAUUGCCAGUUUCUGGCAGGUCUUAAAAUCAGUGGCGGUGCCAUUUGGCUUCAAGCGUAGUAAUUCUUCUCGCUUUGGAGAUCCAGGUGGUUACUUGCCAAUAACCCCCAAUUUUUUCAGGUUGACCUCGGAUCAGGUAGGGAUACCCGCUGAACUUAAGCAUAUCAAUAAGCGGAGGA